rnacentral:rRNA from 1 species
AUUGAACGCUGGCGGCAGGCCUAACACAUGCAAGUCGAGCGGAGCGGCGGACGGGUGAGUAAUGCCUAGGAAUCUGCCUGGUAGUGGGGGAUCACGCCCGGAGAGGGGCGCUAUUACAGCAUACUAUCAGAUGAGUCUCGGUGGGCUUUGCUAGUUGGUGGGGUAAUGGAUUACCUAGGCGACGAGCCGUAGCUGGUCUGAGAGGAUGAUCAGUCAAACUGGAACUGAGACACGGGCCAGACUCCUACGGGAGGCAGCAGUGGGGAAUAUGGGACAAUGGACGAAAGCCUGAUCGAGCCAUGCCGCGUGUGUGAAGAAGGUCUUCGGAUUGUAAAGCACUGUAAGUUGGGAGGCGUUACCAACAGAAUAAGCACCGGCUAACUACGUGCCAGCAGCCGCGGUAAUAC